CCUACGGGAGGCAGCAGUGAGGAAUAUUGGUCAAUGGGCGCGAGCCUGAACCAGCCAAGUAGCGUGAAGGAUGACUGCCCUAUGGGUUGUAAACCUCUUUUGUCGGGGAGCAAAAGCCGGACGUGUCCGGCUGUGAGAGUACCCGAAGAAAAAGCAUCGGCUAACUCCGUGCAAGCAGCCGCGGGAUUACGGAGGAUGCGAGCGUUAUCCGGAUUUAGUGGGUUUAAAGGGUGCGCAGGCGGAUUUUUAAGUCAGCGGUAAAAUCGUGGGGCUCAACACCGUCCAGACGUUGAAACUGGGGAUCUAGAGUGGGCGAGAGGUAUGCGGAAUGCGUGGUGUAGCGGUGAAAUGCAUAGAUAGCACGCAGAACCCCGAUUGCGAAGGCAGCAUACCGGUGCACAACUGACGCUCAGGCACGAAAGCGUGGGUAUCGAACAGGAUUAGAUACCCUUGUAGUC
rnacentral:rRNA from 1 species